AUGUCCAGUCUUUAUCGAACUCUCCCCUUCAGUUCAUGAUUUGUGGGAAGCAAUGGCUGGACGUACAGUAAACCUGUCUGUUUAGGAGGGCUGCACACAGUAAAGUGCUCACCCUUAAAGGCUUGAUAGGACAUG